GGGUAGAAGGAAGGGCGUACCUAACCUAACGCCAUUUUAGUGUAUUUGAGAAGAACGCCACCAUGGUCAACCGUCAUACUUUAGUUUUCUGUUGGUUUUCCUGCUACAAACCUCUUUGUCAUCCACUGUAUGUUUUCAUGAAAAGGUGGUGGCAACCGAUGGGCAGAAUAUCACCAUUCCCUUCAAUUUUUCUCACCUGGAGAGGGCCGAUCAAGUAAAAGUACAUUUCGAAGGGAUAAACAAAACAAAAUUGGUAGGAGAGCUUUGUUUCAAGAAUGAUUCCUGUGAUUAUAUGGAACCAGAUGGAGUCUUCCUGAAAGUUGAAGGAGAGAGACUGUCCCUAAUUCUUCUAGAGAUAAACUCUUCAAGACAAGGCAAUUAUACAGUGAUUGUCCUUAUUGGAGAGAAAACUGAUAAACGGUCUUUUACACUUCUUGUCAAAACACCAUUUUCCUCAAGUACAAUUCCACCACAUUCUCCAACAUCAGAAUCUCCAACCUCAUCUAAUUACCUGUGGUUGUACUUCCUACUACUACUACUACUACUUCCUCUGUUGAUUUAUGGGAUUUGGCUCCUUCUGAAACAGCGAAA